rnacentral:rRNA from 1 species
UACGUAGGUGGCAAGCGUUGUCCGGAUUUACUGGGCGUAAAGGGCGUGCAGGCGGUUUGUUAAGUCUAGGGUGAAAGCUCCCGGCUCAACUGGGAGAGGUCCUUGGAUACUGGCAGACUUGAGGGAGGCAGAGGAAAGUGGAAUUCCCGGUGUAGUGGUGAAAUGCGUAGAUAUCGGGAGGAACACCAGUGGCGAAGGCGACUACCUGGCCUGUUCUUGACGCUGAGGCGCGAAAGCUAGGGGAGCAAACGGG